rnacentral:rRNA from 1 species
UACGUAGGGUGCGAGCGUUUGUCCGGAAUUAUUGGGCGUAAAGAGCUUGUAGGUGGUUUGUCGCGUCUGCUGUCGGAAAAAUCCGAGGCUCAACCUCGGACUUGCAGUGGGUACGGGCAGACUAGAGGUGUGGGUAGGGGAGACUGGAAUUCCUGGUGAUAACGGUGGAAUGCGCAGAUAUCAGGAGGAACACCGAUGGCGGAAGGCAGGUCUCUGGGCCAUUACUGACACUGAGAAGCGAAAGCAUGGGGAGCGAACAGG